AGCAUAAGUAAAAAUGAUAAAGUGACUUGAAUCACAUGCAGGAGAGUUUGGUACAAAUGGUUAAUGGAGAGCAUUGAUGGCCUGGAAUAAAAAUAAAAAUAAUAGAUUCGGUUUAAGCAACGACGGUGAAACUAAACCAAACCGUUGAGUCACGGGGAAAGGUAUCGACUUUAACGGAUGCAUAAGUCGAGCACUGCUCGAAAAACAACACCUGGAAACGUUAAAUUAGAAAGUCCUGCCCCAUCAAAAAAUAGCUUCAUUCGUGUAUACCUACAUAUAUAGCAUCAAAAUAUUAACACUUUUGGAAAUUGAAAAAAAAAACAAGUUAAAAUUUUUAAAUUUUAUAUGCAAACAAAUCAACGAUCAUCAGUAUAGGGGCAGAGAAGAUGCACCGAAUUAGAAAAAUAUUUAAUUUAUAACGGAAUUCCGCAGCGUAUAUUUGUUUAACCCCGAACAGGUGAUUUUAUUUAUUGGAUUAAAUAAAUUUAAAGCUAAAUGAUAAUUCUGAUUUGUUUAAUAUAUCAUAAUGUGACUAAAUACACAUCGCUUUAACUGAAUAGGUGCAAAUUUGUAUUUUUUGCUGUUAACUGUUUAUUAAAGCUGCUUGGAAAAGCAAAGAAUAUGGUAA